rnacentral:rRNA from 1 species
AUGAAUGUUGCUCAGAGGUUCCACUUACCUCUAUCUGCCCAGGCCUAUCAGGAGUAUAUGACUGUGCAAAAUUUGAUGGAAAAUUGCAGUAGGGAUGUGCAAGCAAAUGACAUCUGGUUCUGGCACGGGACUUUCCAUCCUUUCAAGCCCAAGCUGUUCUACUCCAUGCACUCUACCCUCUCUUUCAAUCUUCUCCUUUUGUGGAUAUGGAGAUCUUCCUGCACAAUGAAAAUCAAAGUGUUUGCCUGUAUGCUGAUAAUGGAUCGGCUGAACACUAAAGAUAUGGUUGAAAGAAGGCACUAG